AGUAGGCAGCGACAAUGGAUUUAGGGUUUGCAGAAAGAAAACCGUUGUACAACAAUUAAAUGCAAAUAGUACAACUUAUAAUGCAAGGUCAUCGAUUGGGCUUGAAGCUGUGAGGAGAUGGGCUUUGCUAAUGGGCUAGGUUGAAGGCCUGGUUAUAUUCAGGUUUCAUACGGGUUUGGAGUACUACUAUACGGAGUCUAUAUAAAAAGGUUUUUACCCAGGUUCAUUGGCAUACACAAGUUGCUCAUUCUCUUUCUAAACGUUCAGGUUCUCUGGCUCUUCAUCUUUCUCUCUCCUAGGGUUUGUUCUUAGUUAGUUAGAUCUGUUAGAUCUCUUGUUGAGAUCUUGAUUACCAGUGUUUGAUCUAUCUUUGAGAGUAGCAGAUCAUCGUGUUGAUGAUAUUGUGCGAGAGAUUGUCUAUUGUUCAUCGUUUCUUUGUAAGAGUUGUUUGUCUUGUGUAAUAAUAAAGAGUUUUACAGUUAA